rfam:Eucalyptus grandis cultivar BRASTZ1 unplaced genomic scaffold scaffold_2, whole genome shotgun sequence.
UGUGCAAAUGACGACAAAACAGACAGGGACAUCAGCACUCCUAUGGAGGAUGGUGACUUCGUCUAGAUGGGAAUCUCUCUGAUGCGUU